rnacentral:rRNA from 1 species
UUUAUCUGGUAAAGCGAAUGAUUAGAGGUCUUGGGGCCGAAACGAUCUCAACCUAUUCUCAAACUUUAAAUGGGUAAGAGGCCCGGCUCGCCGACUCGGAGCCGGGCGUGGAAUGCGAGCGCCCAGUGGGCCACUUUUGGUAAGCAGAACUGGCGCUGCGGGAUGAACCGAACGCCGGGUUAAGGCGCCCGAUGCCGACGCUCAUCAGACCCCACAAAAGGUGUUGGUUGAUAUAGACAGCAGGACGGUGGCCAUG